rnacentral:misc_RNA from 1 species
CGGCUCCGUGGCCGUUCGUCCGAAUCAUACGCCGGCUCGUGCGAGCUCGAUAAACACGUUCCACAAUUGGUGGUUCCUUGGAUUCGUCUGGAUUCGUGCCGUCACGAUUUUUCGAUAAUUCCAAGAAUUUAUUACAAAGGAAACGAACGAGUUCUCGAGAAAAUUCUCUCACCUCGAUCGAAUACGCGGUGUCGAUGAAGAGGGCCACGUGAUCAUCGCAACCGGUUCGAUAAUGCGGCCGAUUGGUUGGGCGAUGGCGUGCGCGUUGCUCGCGUCUACUUUUCCAAAAAGUGCAUCUCUGCUCGCCAGCGCGGAGGAGGAGAGUGUUGGUAUCGUUGCUACAGCUCACCGCCAUCCAACUGAACGCGGCAAACUAACCAAACUGCUGCCCAUUUCCAAGGACACUUCACCGGAUCCCGAUACACACCGACUCGAACAAUUAAUCGACGAUGAGAGGAGCAGGAGAAGGAAGAGGAGCGUACAGGAAGGGACGAGAAGAGAGGGUCGAACGUUCGGUCAUAAGCGAAUCCAAUUCAUGCUGAUGCCGAUGAUGUACAAAAUGGGAGUGAUGAUGACGAUGCUGAUCGUUUUGACGGCGAUCUCCGUCAAGGGAUUGCUCGUUGGUGCCAUGUUAUUAAUGCUGAAACUGAGCACGCUAAUAGCCAAGUUCUCCUUCGGUUGGCAGCACAAUGCGCAGACUCCUCAACCGAUCCAUGUGCACGUUCACAACAGUCCACCAACGGCUCACAAUCAAGCGUACAGCGGUUGGAUGCCGGGGAGCGGUCCAGGAGGGGAACACCACUACUACUACAGAGCAUCGUAAACCCUCUCCCCGUGAAGAGACCGUUUCUUCGAUAUAUAUAUAUAUAUAUAUAUAAAAAUCGCGAUUAUUUGUGAUAAUUUAUCAUACGAUCAAGCGAACUCGAUGCUACAUUUGCUCUCCACGUACCAAAGGAUAUUUACUCUCAGAAUUUAAGUUUUUUUUUAUUUAAGUUUUAUUUCGAAAAGUAAGACUGGCACCUCGCCUCGAAUCGCAUAUAGAUAUAAUCGAGAAAAAGACCAAAUUGAGAGGCCAAAAUUGUGUAAACUUGUGUUACGUUUAAGGAACAACAACCUCAACACGUUUACCUCAACUUAGCGAUAUUAGUAUUAAUUUAUUAUUGUAGUAAGGAAGCAGCGUCUCCGUCUCGAUAACCAUCCACGUUUAAUCCUAACAAUUAUAUGUAUAUCAUCGUAGAAUGUAUUUUAUUAAAUUUUUUUUUUUUUU